rnacentral:rRNA from 1 species
UACGGAGGGUGCAAGCGUUGUCCGGAUUUAUUGGGUUUAAAGGGUGCGUAGGUGGUCUGAUAAGUCCGGGGUGAAAGCCCACAAGCGUCAACUGUGGAACUGCCCUGGAUACUGUCAGACUUGAGGGUAGACGAGGUUGGCGGAAUAGAAGGUGUAGCGGUGAAAUGCAUAGAUACCUUCUAGAACCCCGAUUGCGUAGGCAGCUGACUAGGCUACACCUGACACUGAGGCACGGAAAGCGUGGGGAGCGAACAGG